GACGAGUAACCUUAAGUUGCAGUUGCAGAGGACACAAGAGUCAAACUCUAAUUUGAUUCUUGCUGUGAGGGAUCUCAAUGAGAUGUUGGAGCAGAAGAACAAUGAGAUAUCUUCUCUGAAUAGCUUAUUAGAGGAGGCUAAGAAGCUUGAAGAGCAUAAAGGAAUGGAUUCUGGAAACAAUGAGAUAGAUACGCUAAAGCAACAGAUCGAAGAUUUAGAUUGGGAGUUAGACUCUUACAAGAAAAAGAACGAAGAACAAGAGAUACUAUUAGAUGAGCUUACUCAGGAAUAUGAGUCCUUGAAAGAGGAAAAUUACAAAAACGUUUCCUCAAAAUUAGAGCAGCAAGAAUGCUCAAAUGCAGAAGACGAAUACUUGGAUUCCAAGGAUAUUAUAGACGAAUUGAAAUCUCAGAUAGAGAUAUUGGAAGGCAAACUGAAGCAGCAAUCGUUGGAGUAUUCUGAGUGCUUGAUUACAGUUAAUGAACUUGAGAGUCAGGUGAAAGAGUUAAAGAAAGAACUGGAGGAUCAGGCACAGGCUUAUGAUGAAGAUAUCGACACAAUGAUGCGGGAAAAAACUGAACAAGAGCAAAGAGCCAUCAAAGCAGAGGAGAACCUGAGGAAAACAAGAUGGAAUAACGCUAUAACUGCAGAGCGGCUUCAAGAGAAAUGCAAGAGGCUUUCUCUAGAAAUGGAAUCGAAGCUGAGCGAGCAUGAGAAUCUGACGAAAAAAACAUUGGCUGAAGCCAACAACCUUCGUCUGCAAAACAAAACUCUUGAGGAAAUGCAAGAGAAAACACAUACCGAGAUUACACAAGAGAAAGAACAAAGGAAGCACGUGGAAGAGAAGAACAAAGCUUUGUCAAUGAAAGUCCAGAUGCUUGAAAGUGAGGUCCUGAAGCUCACAAAGCUGAGAGAUGAGUCGAGUGCAGCAGCUACUGAAACCGAGAAGAUAAUACAAGAGUGGAGGAAAGAAAGAGAUGAAUUUGAGAGAAAACUUUCUUUGGCUAAAGAAGUAGCCAAGACAGCGCAGAAAGAGUUAACUCUCACUAAGUCGUCAAAUGAUGAUAAAGAGACAAGGCUCAGGAAUUUGAAGACAGAAGUAGAAGGUCUAAGCCUACAGUACAGUGAAUUACAAAACAGCUUCGUUCAAGAAAAAAUGGAGAAUGAUGAACUGAGAAAACAAGUAUCAAACCUGAAAGUCGAUAUUCGGAGAAAAGAAGAAGAAAUGACUAAAAUCCUAGAUGCAAGGUAUGUGGACAAUAAACUAACUAAACUGGAAUGUUAUUUGCGUUAUGAAUAUUUGACUUAAUUAUGAUCUAACACGGAAAGUAAACAGGAUGGAAGCAAGGUCACAAGAAAACGGACACAAAGAGGAGAAUCUAUCAAAGCUAUCAGACGAAUUGGCGUAUUGUAAGAACAAAAACAGUUCAAUGGAGAGAGAGUUGAAAGAAAUGGAAGAGAGAUAUUCAGAGAUAAGCCUGAGAUUUGCAGAGGUAGAAGGAGAAAGACAACAACUUGUGAUGGCUGUCAGAAACCUCAAGAACGGUAAGAAGUUCUAGUAUUUGUAUGUCGCUGCGAAUACAGGUGUUGUCAGAUCAUAGUAGAAAUCACUAUAUAACUUGUACUGUUAAUAGAAUUCGUUUCUCUCAUAAAACAUUAUUUUAAACUUAUCAAGAAAUCAAUAUUUUCCACUGAAAUAAGUAACGCUUACAUAAGAUUUUGAGAUGCCCACUUCCAAAAUCUGAUCAUAUCCACUGAUUGGUUUUUGGUUAGUUUCCAAUUGCUACGCCGUGUUUGUUUCUUUACUUCCAUACAAGUUUUGUUUGGCCAGUUCCAUUCGCUGUGUAAGAUAGAGACUGGAAUGAAAAAAAAAAGAUGUUAAAGAAAUCAACGGUAUGAACAAAUCUCACUUCUAUAGGGAUCAUAUAUAAUGAAUACCUGUUUUGCUCGCUUAUCAAUUGGUGUGCAUGACUUAAGAGGCGAGUAAAAUCUCUCGUUUUUUGGUGAGGCUGAAGAAUUCUUUGACCGCUUCUGCCUCUUCUCUUCUUGAAGUUUGUUGCCUCCUUUAUACUUGAAAAACUCGAGUAUGGAUGGACUCUUUCUCUUGGUAUUAGCUUUCUUUAUGUUCCCUGGAGUCUCCAAACUAGGUGGAGAAGCAUAAGAAGGAAGAGAUUGUUGUUGUUUCCUUGCUCUGCUUCUUUCUCGAACUCUGUUAAGGAAAUCAACCGUCCAAGGAGAACUUUGUACUUGAUUUGAAGAACGGAUUGCGUUUGAUAGUGGAGAUCCACCAAAAUGUGAUAUUUCUUCUCUAAAUGGAAGCUCUGUUGUUGGAACUGCAGAUCUUCGUGUUAAGACCUCCUCCAAAAGGGUCCUUUGGCGUUUUGCUGGAUAGUUAUCAGCAUAGCCACGCAAAGAAGUGUUGUUAUCAUAUUUUGAAUCUUUCUCAGUGGCGUAUCUUUCAGAACUCGAGUCGAUGUCAGCCGCCUUUGGGAAGUUAGGCUGGAGAGAUCCAAAGAAAGAUAACUUCCUUGAAGAUUUUGAUUUUCUUGGAAGUUCCUCUUCAUUAACAUCAGAAACUAUUCGAGCAAACCUAUUAUAACCAGGAGAAGGCGGGAAGUCUUCCUCGAGAUACUUAUCAGCUCUGUCAAUUACUUCACCUUUGUAGUCUGCGAUGAAAUUCUCCGAGUUCCUAUUGUCAUGCAAGUUAAAAUCUCUCAUCACCGGAAAUUUACAUCCUCUGUUCUGGCUCAUGAAUUUGUCUUUAACUGGGAAACUCCAAUCUUCUAAUUCAGGAAUUCCAGGAAGACUGUCCUCCACUGAAAAAUCAGGCUGAUCUUUCUCCCAAAAUGUGUCCUUUGAUGAUGAACCAGGUCCUGACUUCUUGUCAAAUCUCUCAGGAUCUUUAGACGGCCAAGAGUCAUUGGGAUGACUGAUCCCAGAAGGUUUGAAAGGUGCAUCUGAGAAUUCAGUGACAGGGUCAAAAUGAAAGAUCUCAUGAUCUUUCGAUGACCAAGAAUCAUCAAGUUGGAAAUCCCCAGAAGACUUGAGCUGUGUAUCAGCAAAUUCUAUCGAGGGAGAAAAAUGCACCAAGUCGUCCAUAUCUAUCUCAUCUUUCUCAGCAAUGUACUGUUUCUUUUUUGAGCCAGAAUGGACACUGACAUGGUGUGUGUCUGAGUCAGGUCCAGAAGAUACCGAAGAAGAGCUGUCUGUCAUUACAGAUCUGGAGUCCUCCCUUGCUCCGUAUCUGCAUACUGAACUGAAUAGAUCAACACUCUCUUCAGGUACAUGAUACUUUUGCGUCCUUUCAACCUUGCUUUUAUGUGGGAGCUUCAUGAAUUCGAGAAGUGACCCAGAAGAUGACAGAAUUACUUGAGCUGUGAGUGGAUUCACGGAAGGAAACUUGGUGAGAAAUGAUUCUGCUAGAGAUUCUGACUCGGGCAUUUUGACAUGGAGUUUGGACAACUUAACAGAAGAUUUGAUACACUUCAAUAUAAUUUCAUCCGUGAGAUUAGCUGACGAUGAGCAAAACAUCUGUAAACUGAUUCCUAGGCUACCAGCUGCUGCAUACAGUUCAUCAGAGGAGUCCAUUACGGCAGCCAGGAAGGCGGGUUCCCCCUCAAAAACCUGUACGAAAAAUAACAAUCGUUCUUUAAGUUCUCUGGACUCAGUCUACAGUUUAGAAGAAAAUGUUGCAGAGACUUUAGUAUAUGAGUGAGUAUUAAACAUCUAGUAAGUUUGUAAUCAUCAAAUUAGCAAAAAUAAUAGAAGAUGAUUCUUAAAGUGAAAGGUCCACAUAUAUACUGCAACGUUCCCACAAAAGAACGGCAAAAAGCAAAGUUUGGUGGAAUUUACCAUAAUGCAAGUGCUGAAACUGAAACUCAAUGACGUCAAAACAUUAGUUGCGAUAUCUCCAAUCCAUGAAAGUGAACUUGAGGAAGUACCAAUAGUUGCAGCCGACUUCUUACUAACAGUUUCACUAUCAUACCAGAGUAGGCAAACUGCAGGACUUAACAUCAGGUCCACAGGUAGAUCUGAAUCGCGCUCCACAACUUGCACUCCUUCUUUUUCCAUUGCUAACACCUUCUGGUAUGUACUUCUUCUGGAUAUGAUCAUCUCCUUAUCGACAGUUUUUGUGUUCACAACAAUCACAGAUCUUUGGUCAGAGAGACCCUGUUCAAUUAUCCCACGUUUUCUUUCAGAUUCUUGAGGCAUGGAGAUAAAUUCAGAUUCAUUUGUGGUUUCGGAAGAUCCUGCAUAACACACUUUUUCAAGUGGAACAAAGUUCAACACUUCUUCCAACCACCCAGUUUUCGUCUCAACUUCGUCUCCCUACAAAAGAGAUAAUAGUGUACAUAGGUUCUCGUAUCUGCAUAUUCUGGAACAUAUUCAAACAAAGCGUUCAAAAUAUGCAGUUAUGGAAUAAACGUGAAUACCACUGAUGUGACAACACAAUUUUAGGUUAAAGUACAUACUAAUGUUAAACUUGCAUAAUUUUCAGUGUUGCAAAACCAAUCAAGAUCAUAUGCUCAUGAAAGUACUAUUUGUGAUACAGAUUGAUCUACUGCUCUGAAUUUGAACCCUUCACACAGACUCUUCCAUCGUAAUAUACAAUCUACCAAUAUAACUUGUAAGAAAAGGUUGAAUGUUUCUCACCUUUAUCAUUUUGAGACUAUAAGGUACUGUAACACCUGCACAGAGUUGCCCGCAUGCACUGGGCAUAUCCAGCUCCACUUUUAUGAAAUGAAAGGAAGGAAAGGAAUCCAACUUUGAAGGAAAAGAAUAUCUGGGCGAGGCAUUUGGACCUCCAUAUUCUACAAUGACGCUGAAAUUCUCCACAGGAAAAGAUGGAGAAAUUUGCCUUAGAUGAAAAAGAAAGGACUAGUUAGCUUAACUACUCCCAAAAGACAAUUUCACUAAAAGAUAUUGAACAAAGAAUCGAUAAAGCUAUGUUUUAGCAUGCAAAGAACAAUAAUGCAGCAAUUUCACGAGCAGAGAAGUAACAACAUUUUGUGGUAUCUCUUACAAUCACCAUGCUAAAAGACUGAAAAUGCUUUUCAGGCCGCAAUAUAUCAAUUCUUUGGUUCCCUUUCUAGUUCCCAAAAAAUUCAACUGUGAAAAGCUAUGAUCAUUGAUAAUGAGGAUAUGGCUAUAGGAAGAAAUAAUACUCACUCGUAAGAGAUAAUUAGACAGUCUGAAAUCGGCAGGAAACCAAGUUCUAUGGCUUCAUGAACAUUUGGUCGAUUUCCACUUGGGGAGGGACUGUUGAGGUCAUUGUAAGAUAACCCCAUGGACAUCAGUAGCCUCUUCAGCGAGGACCAAAACACUUUCUCAGCCAAAAGUAAUGCUUUGGAGUUCCCCCGGGCAAAUUCUGACUGUAAAAUCCCCUGGAUAACAGCUAGUGAUGGAUGUGAUCUUGUGAUGUCUGUCUCAUCUGAUUUGUGUUCUGUUUCAACUGCUGAGUAGAGGGUGUGCAAUCCUAUCUUCAUGGGAUUUGAGCUUCGACAUACCUUGUUAAGAUAGAUAUAUGCCACAUGGAUACCGAAGAAACACAUAUACCAUGUCAUCUGUUUAAUUGCUAAUAGUAAUGCAAACGUGAAAGUCUUAUCAUCCGCCAACUGUGUUUUGUGGACAUUUGCCUUUCUUAUGCAGUCAAUAAGCUUUCCUUUAGAUAUGCUGAGUAACUUAAGUUUAUCUUCUGAUAAAUUCUCUGAUUCAUCCUUCACAAGAGUUAAAUAGCUCUUCACAAAUUCCCCAACAAGAGCCUGAAUAUUUUCUGAAGGGCGCACACUGUGAAGUAUCAUUUCCUCUGUCUUCGGGUUUGGGUGCAUACCACCAGAUCUACAUGAAGCCUUCGAGUCAAUAGACAUACAUUUAUGGUUGGUAGUCUUAGCAGCUUCGACUCUAGACUCGAGAUUAUCUUCAAUCACAGCCUUCUUCGGAUCCAUGAAAAAGGUUAAGUCAUCAAAAGCAGACAUUGAUUUGAACAACAGCGUAGCCUUCUUAGCAUUAUCAUCCACUGCACAAUCCCUUGCUCCUGUUUUUUGGAAAGGGUUUUCCAAUAACCCAUGCGAAGUAUUAACAGGAGCAUGCUCAUCAAGGUUAGAUAUACCAUAGAAAGGUUCAGUGCAUUUCUCUACAAGUGGCUCGCAGAAAGCAUCUUCAGAGAAAAUGAAAUCAUAAACCCAUUUGUCUCCUUCUGAAGCUUCCCAGUUAUAAUCAAUGUUGAAUGUAACUAUUUCUUCAAACGGAUAAUCACAAUGGUUGUGGUUUCUUUCCUCAAGAAGGUUCCACGGCAAGUAUAUGUCAUUUGAGGCAGACAAGGAUUGAGGCUUGAUCUUUGACAAAACAUCCUCAUAAAUGAGCUCCAGAGAUCUUGUCAUCUCAUAAUCAUGUAAAAUAGGAGUAGGCAAAGACUUGAAGGCAUCAUCUGUGAAGGCAAGUUCGGAACUGACAACUAAUUCAUCGAAAUCCUUGAAGUUCAUCUCUUUACUGAACAUACCGUAACAGAUUUCUGGUUCAAUGGCUUUUUGAAGACAAAGGAAGAUAUCAAAAACAUCAGAGAUAUCCACAUCCAGGAUCUGGAAUUCCUCAUAAGUUACUGGUACAGCCACCUUUCCCUGAAAUUCCUCAGCAUUUGAUAUUUCCAGGAUAGUCACUAUAUCCAUUUCAGAAAAUUCAUCCUCUGGUACCACAUCAGAUUGGCCACUCUUGUUCAAAUAGCAAUCCGUAGAGAGUACAUCCAAUAGAUCAUAAUCCUUUGAGCCUAUAAGCUCCUUAGAAUUGAUAAUGAGAGAACUCCCUGCAUUAGUGUCUUGGGGUUCAAUCGUCUCAAGAACAGUAAAUACUUUAUCAAGCACAGAUAAGCUUGAUAGUUCGCUCAAGUUUACUUCAUCCACUUCUAGAAGGGGAAAUCUGGCAUCUUUGAACCAUGGUUGAAUCUUGCGGAAGCAUUCAUUUUCUGCUACAGAAGUGUUGUUCUCUGUAAAGUAAUCAGAAGGAAUGUAAUCAACAGAAUAAAUCUGCUCUUGAAUGUCCUUUGAGUUCUGCAGGAUAAUAUCUGACCCCUCAUAUUUAACCUGCAAUAAGAAGACUAGCUAAAAUCAGAUGAUGCCAAGAACAGGAACCAGCUCUACCACUCUACAGCAAAAGCAAAAACUACUGUUGUGUGUGCCAACUAAAAUCAACUCAGGGAUUUACCGGGUCAUUUUUGAUCUCUAGAACUUCAGAGAAACAUUGGAGAUGAUCCUCACUCGUGCAUAAGAGCUUGUUCUCCUGUAUAUCAAAAGAUGCUUUAUCUCGCAAUGAAAAAGAAAAAGCUGAACUAGUUCAAUUAGUACAAUGCUUACACAGCUUGAGCAAUACCAUCUCAAAAUCCAACUCUGGAGUCUCCAACUCAAUAAUUUUAGGUGUAGCUUUAUCCGCAAUGGCAUCUCCGUCAUCCUUCUGCAAAUAGAUCAUAACUUCGGUUUUCAAACUCCGGUAAGAUUCGCUUAAGCUACCAAAAUUUCCAACCCAAGUAUGAAUAUAAGAUCUAAGCAACAAUCAGAAAUGGAAACUGAGAAAACACACCACAAAUUUCGAAAAAUCUACAACCAAUCUCACUAUAAGAAACAAAGGACCGUUGACAGAAACAGUCAGCGAGACUCAGGAAAUUCGAAAUUUCACCUCCAGGAACUGAUAAUAUCUAGAUCGAAGGAACUUUACCUCGUCUGAGUAAUAAACUCCGAGCGAAGAGUCGUCGAUUUCAAAAACUCGAUAGUCCACACUGACGCGGUCGGGAACCACGUCGGAAAGGAACUUCGACAAAGCAGCUUCAAUAGGCAAAUUUCCGAUAGGGAUACUAACAUUUUCGAUCGAGCCAAAUCGGAGACGGUCUUCUUCUCCGUUGUAGACGAUGGGUGCCGGGAAAUUAUCAGGAGCCGGAAGAUUGAGGAAGCCUAGGGUUUCAAAUACGUGAGAAGGUGGAGUAGAGAAGUAAUCGAUGUUGAGAAAUCGAGUUCGCAUCGUAAUUUUCUAGAUCCGUCUUGGGAGCUCAGACUGUAUCAGUGAUGAUGAUGAUGAUGAAGAAGAGAACGAAUUUUGAAAUUGGCGGUUUUGAAUUUUUAAGAAAUUAAAAAAUAUCCCCCGUCGAUUUCAAGAGGGAGAUGGAGAUACCAAAGCAACUCUCGCCACUUGUCGUCUUUUAAUUUUAAUUGAGUACGUUAUGCCGUUUUAAAUGUUCAAAACAGCACACAGUUGAUAGCUGAAUUGAUUUUUUCUUUUGCCGUUUUGUUAUAUUUAAACAACACACAGUGCAUUUGCCAAAUAACUACAUGAUGGGCCAAUAAACGUGGACCGACUAAAACUAAAUAAUAGAAGAUACAUCGAUAGGCUUCUCUAAAGAUCGGAUAAAAGAUAAUGUCGCAUAGCCACGUAGAGAGCAACUGGCUGAGACGUGGCAGGACGAAACGGACGCAUCGUACGUGUCAGAAUCCUACAGAAGUAAAGAGACAGAAGCCAGAGAGAGGUGGUUCGGCCAUAUGUCAUCGUUCUCUCUAUAAACUUUAUGGAACUUUGUUCUGAUUUUCUCAGAGACACGAAAAGAAAGAAAACAACACUAGAACAAAGAGGGUUUGAUUGAUUCACUUGAAAAAGAGAAAACACAGCUUUGGAAAAUGGAGUCACAGUUGACACGUCCUUAUGGUCAUGAGCAAGCAGAAGAACCAAUCAGAAUUCACCAUCCAGGUAUAUAUAUAUCUAUGACAGAAGAUUCUAAUUUGAGAACUUUUCUCUUAAUUUGCCUUAUUUAUUGUGAUUCGGAUACAGAAGAAGAAGAGCAUCAUGAGAAGGGAGCAUCCAAAGUGUUGAAGAAAGUAAAAGAAAAGGCUAAGAAAAUCAAGAACAGUCUCACUAAACAUGGAAAUGGUCAUGAUCACGAUGUGGAAGAUGAUGAUGAUGAGUAUGACGAGCAAGACCCAGAAGUUCACGGCGCACCAGGUUAAUUUCUCUGUAUUAAAGUCCUCGUCAAUCAGCAGUUAUAUUUUUUUGUGUAUUAACGGUUUUUCUGUUUUUUUAUGUGUAUGCACAGUGUAUGAAUCCUCUGCCGUGAGAGGUGGUGUAACGGGUAAACCUAAGUCUCUUAGUCAUGCCGGAGAAACUAAUGUUCCGGCAUCGGAGGAGAUUGUUCCUCCAGGGACAAAAGUUUUUCCUGUCGUGUCUUCUGACCACACCAAACCCAUUGAGCCUGUAUCAUUACAAGAUACCUCUUACGGACAUGAGGCACUGGCUGAUCCUGUAAGAACGACGGAAACAUCGGACUGGGAAGCGAAAAGAGAGGCACCGACUCAUUAUCCUCUCGGAGUGUCAGAAUUUUCAGACAGAGGAGAGAGCAGAGAGGCUCAUCAAGAGCCAUUGAACACUCCUGUGUCUCUGCUUUCAGCAACAGAGGACGUGACUAGGACGUUUGCUCCUGGUGGUGAAGAUGACUAUCUCGGUGGUCAACGGAAAGUCAACGUCGAGACGCCAAAACGUUUGGAGGAAGAUCCGGCUGCUCCAGGAGGAGGAUCGGAUUAUCUCAGUGGUGUAUCUAAUUAUCAGUCCAAAGUUACUGAUCCCACGCAUAAAGGUAAUGACUUUGGCCGAGACUUUUUUUAGGGUUUAUGAAUCUGUAAUAACUCUUGUCUGUUCUGUUUAAGGUGGAGAAGCUGGAGUACCAGAGAUUGCUGAGUCUCUUGGUAGAAUGAAAGUGACUGAUGAGUCUCCUGAUCAGAAAUCAAGACAAGGACGCGAAGAAGACUUUCCGACGAGAAGCCAUGAGUUUGAUCUGAAGAAGGAAUCUGAUAUCAACAAGAAUUCUCCGGCAAGAUUUGGAGGGGAAUCAAAAGCUGGGAUGGAGGAAGAUUUUCCGACAAGAGGUGAUGUGAAAGUAGAGAGUGGAUUGGGAAGAGACUUACCGACGGGAACUCAUGAUCAGUUCUCACCAGAACUAUCUCGUCCCAAAGAGAGAGAUGAUUCUGAGGAAACCAAAGAUGAGUCGACACAUGAGACAAAACCAAGCACCUACACAGAGCAGUUAGCUUCAGCUACAUCAGCCAUAACUAACAAAGCUAUAGCCGCAAAGAACGUCGUUGCCUCAAAGCUAGGUUACACCGGAGAGAAUGGCGGCGGGCAAAGCGAGAGCCCUGUAAAAGAUGAAACUCCGAGAUCUGUUACUGCUUACGGGCAGAAAGUGGCGGGAACUGUUGCUGAGAAGUUGACUCCGGUUUACGAAAAAGUCAAAGAAACAGGAUCAACGGUGAUGACAAAGCUACCUCUCUCCGGAGGUGGAAGUGGAGUGAAGGAGACGCAACAAGGGGAAGAGAAAGGUGUGACGGCUAAAAAUUAUAUAUCAGAGAAGCUGAAACCUGGAGAAGAGGACAAAGCUUUAUCGGAAAUGAUAGCUGAGAAACUUCAUUUUGGAGGAGGAGGAGAGAAGAAGACAACGGCUACAAAGGAGGUGGAAGUGACGGUUGAGAAGAUACCUUCCGACCAGAUAGCGGAGGGGAAAGGACAUGGUGAGGCGGUUGCAGAGGAAGGAAAAGGUGGAGAAGGAAUGGUGGGGAAAGUUAAAGGAGCGGUCACUUCUUGGCUCGGUGGUAAACCGAAGUCGCCACGGUCCGUUGAAGAGUCUCCACAAUCACUUGGCACCACCGUUGGUAAAACUCCCUCGUCCUUGUGUUACACGUAAUGUUAAGAUUUUGAUGUGUGUAUUAUUUUUGUAAUUUUACUCAAAAUGUUUUGGUUGCUAUGGUAGGGACUAUGGGGUUUUCGGAUUCCGGUGGAAGUGAGUUGGGAGGCAGUGGCGGAGGUAAGGGAGUUCAAGAUUCUGGGAACUGAAGAUUUGGGGUUUUGCUUUUGAAUGUUUGUGUUUUUGUAUGAUGCCUCUGUUUGUGAACUUUGAUGUAUUUUAUCUUUGUGUGAAAAAGAGAUUGGGUUAAUAAAAUAUUUGCUUUUUUGGAUAAGAAACUCUUUUAGCGGCCCAUUAAUAAAGGUUACAAAUGCAAAAUCAUGUUAGCGUCAGAUAUUUAAUUAUUCGAAGAUGAUUGUGAUAGAUUUAAAAUUAUCCUAGUCAAAAAGAAAGAGUAGGUUGAGCAGAAACAGUGACAUCUGUUGUUUGUACCAUACAAAUUAGUUUAGAUUAUUGGUUAACAUGUUAAAUGGCUAUGCAUGUGACAUUUAGACCUUAUCGGAAUUAAUUUGUAGAAUUAUUAAUUAAGAUGUUGAUUAGUUCAAACAAAAAUUUUAUAUUAAAAAAUGUAAACGAAUAUUUUGUAUGUUCAGUGAAAGUAAAACAAAUUAAAUUAACAAGAAACUUAUAGAAGAAAAUUUUUACUAUUUAAGAGAAAGAAAAAAAUCUAUCAUUUAAUCUGAGUCCUAAAAACUGUUAUACUUAACAGUUAACGCAUGAUUUGAUGGAGGAGCCAUAGAUGCAAUUCAAUCAAACUGAAAUUUCUGCAAGAAUCUCAAACACGGAGAUCUCAAAGUUUGAAAGAAAAUUUAUUUCUUCGACUCAAAACAAACUUACGAAAUUUAGGUAGAACUUAUAUACAUUAUAUUGUAAUUUUUUGUAACAAAAUGUUUUUAUUAUUAUUAUAGAAUUUUACUGGUUAAAUUAAAAAUGAAUAGAAAAGGUGAAUUAAGAGGAGAGAGGAGGUAAACAUUUUCUUCUAUUUUUUCAUAUUUUCAGGAUAAAUUAUUGUAAAAGUUUACAAGAUUUCCAUUUGACUAGUGUAAAUGAGGAAUAUUCUCUAGUAAGAUCAUUAUUUCAUCUACUUCUUUUAUCUUCUACCAGUAGAGGAAUAAACAAUAUUUAGCUCCUUUGUAAAUACAAAUUAAUUUUCGUUCUUGACAUCAUUCAAUUUUAAUUUUACGUAUAAAAUAAAAGAUCAUACCUAUUAGAACGAUUAAGGAGAAAUACAAUUCGAAUGAGAAGGAUGUGCCGUUUGUUAUAAUAAACAGCCACACGACGUAAACGUAAAAUGACCACAUGAUGGGCCAAUAGACAUGGACCGACUACUAAUAAUAGUAAGUUACAUUUUAGGAUGGAAUAAAUAUCAUACCGACAUCAGUUUGAAAGAAAAGGGAAAAAAAGAAAAAAUAAAUAAAAGAUAUACUACCGACAUGAGUUCCAAAAAGCAAAAAAAAAGAUCAAGCCGACACAGACACGCGUAGAGAGCAAAAUGACUUUGACGUCACACCACGAAAACAGACGCUUCAUACGUGUCCCUUUAUCUCUCUCAGUCUCUCUAUAAACUUAGUGAGACCCUCCUCUGUUUUACUCACAAAUAUGCAAACUAGAAAACAAUCAUCAGGAAUAAAGGGUUUGAUUACUUCUAUUGGAAAGAAAAAAAUCUUUGGAAAAUGGAUCAAACAGAGGAACCACCACUCAACACACACCAGCAGCACCCAGGUAGAUUCUAAUUUCAGAAACUUAUAUUUUUUUUAAGUGACAAUCCUCUGAAUUUACUUAAACUUAUUGUGAUUUAUGGAUACAGAAGAAGUUGAACAUCAUGAGAAUGGUGCGACUAAGAUGUUUAGGAAAGUAAAGGCUAGAGCUAAGAAGUUCAAGAACAGUCUCACUAAACAUGGACAAAGCAAUGAGCAUGAGCAAGAUCAUGAUUUGGUUGAAGAAGAUGAUGAUGAUGACGAGCUAGAACCUGAAGUGAUCGAUGCACCAGGUUACUUUCUUUUGUAGUUUCAUUCAACUUAUGAUCUAAAAACUAUUGGUUAUUCAAUUUUGCGUGACAUUAACGGUUUGGUAUCUGUAUAUGCAGGCGUAACAGGUAAACCUAGAGAAACUAAUGUUCCAGCAUCGGAGGAAAUUAUUCCACCAGGGACAAAGGUGUUUCCUGUCGUGUCUUCCGAUUACACCAAACCCACUGAAUCUGUACCAGUACAAGAGGCCUCUUACGGACACGAUGCACCGGCUCAUUCUGUAAGGACGACGUUUACAUCGGACAAGGAAGAGAAAAGAGAUGUACCGAUUCAUCAUCCUCUGUCCGAAUUGUCAGACAGAGAAGAGAGUAGAGAGACUCAUCAUGAGUCAUUGAACACUCCGGUCUCUCUGCUUUCUGGAACAGAGGAUGUAACGAGUACGUUUGCUCCAAGUGGUGAUGAUGAAUAUCUUGAUGGUCAACGGAAGGUCAACGUCGAGACCCCGAUAACGUUGGAGGAAGAGUCGGCUGUUUCAGACUAUCUUAGUGGUGUAUCUAAUUAUCAGUCCAAAGUUACUGAUCCCACCAAAGAAGGUAAGAACUUUGACCUUUUAAGAUUGUGUUUUUCUUUAGUGAUUAUGAAUAUGUAAUAACUCUGUUACGUUGUGUUUGGUUUAGAAACUGGAGGAGUACCGGAGAUUGCUGAGUCUUUUGGUAAUAUGGAAGUGACUGAUGAGUCUCCUGAUCAGAAGCCAGGACAAUUUGAAAGAGACUUGUCGACGAGAAGCAAAGAAUUCAAAGAGUUUGAUCAGGACUUUGACUCUGUUCUCGGUAAGGAUUCGCCGGCGAAAUUUCCAGGUGAAUCAGGAGUUGUUUUCCCGGUGGGCUUUGGUGACGAGUCAGGAGCUGAGCUGGAAAAAGAUUUUCCGACGAGAAGUCAUGAUUUUGAUAUGAAGACUGAAACUGGAAUGGACACGAAUUCUCCAUCAAGAAGCCAUGAAUUUGAUCUGAAGACUGAAUCUGGAAACGACAAGAAUUCUCCGAUGGGCUUUGGUAGUGAAUCAGGAGCUGAGCUGGAAAAAGAAUUUGAUCAGAAGAACGAUU
rnacentral:lncRNA from 1 species